rnacentral:rRNA from 1 species
UACGUAGGAGGCGAGCGUUGUCCGGAGUUACUGGGCGUAAAGGGUGCGCAGGCGGCGGUUCGCGUGGCGAGAUGAAAUCUCCUGCUUACCUGGGAGGGUGGUCGCCAGACGGGAUCGCUUGAGGGUCGGAGAGGGGCGUGGAAUUCCGGGUGGAGCGGUGAAAUUCGUAGAUAUCGGGAGGAACACCAGUGGCGAAGGCGACUCCUGGCCUGUUCUUGACGCUGAGGCGCGAAAGCUAGGGUAGCAAACGGG